AGUUUGAUCAUGGCUCAGGACGAACGCUGGCGGUGUGCUUCACACAUGCAAGUCGAACGAGGUAGCAAUACCUAGUGGCGGACGGGUGAGUAACGCGUGGGAAUCUGCCUUUAGAUGGGGGAUAACGGGUCGAAAGACUCGCUAAUACCGCAUAUGACGAAAGUUGAAAGGAGUAAUCCGUCUAAAGAUGAGCCCGCGUCCGAUUAGCUAGUUGGUAGAGUAAAAGCCUACCAAGGCGACGAUCGGUAGCUGGUCUGAGAGGAUGAUCAGCCACAAUGGGACUGAGACACGGCCCAUACUCCUACGGGAGGCAGCAGUGGGGAAUUUUACGCAAUGGGCGAAAGCCUGACGUAGCGACACCGCGUGAGCGAAGAAGUUCCCCUUGGGGUGUAAAGCUCUGUCAGCUGGAACGAAAAAAAUGACGGUACCAGCAGAGGAAGCAUCGGCUAACUACGUG
rnacentral:rRNA from 1 species